rnacentral:rRNA from 1 species
UGGCGAACGGGUGAGUAACACGUGGGUGAUCUGCCCUGCACUCUGGGAUAAGCCUGGGAAACUGGGUCUAAUACCGGAUAGGACCAUGCUUUAGUGUGUGUGGUGGAAAGUUUUUUCGGUGUAGGAUGAGCCCGCGGCCUAUCAGCUUGUUGGUGGGGUAAUGGCCUACCAAGGCGGCGACGGGUAGCCGGACUGAGAGGUUGGUCGGCCACAUUGGAACUGAGACACGGUCCAG